ACAGAUAGAUUAUGGGUUAAUUUACCAAU
rnacentral:piRNA from 1 species